rnacentral:misc_RNA from 1 species
AAGUCGUAACAAGGUUUCCGUAGGUGAACCUGCGGAAGGAUCAUUAUUAAUACUUGGUUAACACCAGUAAUUUAUGUGCAAACUAAUUGAUUACUGCCAGUACUUGGCGUUCACUUGACAUGAGUGGACAACAUACCUGGCAGUGGCCUUUAAUGACCAUGUUGAGUUUCAACUUUGUCAUUAAAGGUCAUCAGGCUUUGAUUACCCAGGUAAUUCAAUUUACUUGGACCAAUUGAAGCCUGCUAUUUAAAACUAUUAUACAUCAGUCUUGAAAAUCCGUCAUCAGUAGGUAGCUGUAAGGCACUAACUGCUCUGGCAUUAAAAGGGUAAAAAACUUUUAGCAACGGAUCUCUAGGCUCUC